GCGCGCGCAGUUGCAGGGCCGGGGAGCUGCACCCGUGGAAAAGGAGGGGGAGCGGCUGGUCAGCUGCGCCCUGCGGGUCGAGAAUGUCAUCAGCAGGGAUGGCGGCGCUUUGAGUGCUGAGCGCGGCCCCGACCGGGACCCCCUACCCUUGACCCACCCUCGCAGCCCGCGGCCCCGACCUCUGACCCACACUCCCAGCCCGACCUUCGACCCCCGACCCGCCCUCGCAGCCCGCGGCCCCGACCGGGACCCCCUACCCUUGACCCACCCUCCCAACCCGACCCUCGACCCCCGACCCGCCCUCGCAGCCCGCGGCCCCGACCUCUGACCCGCCCUCCCAGCCCGCGGCCCCGACCUCUGACCCGCCCUCCCAGCCAGACCCUCGACGCUCGACCCGCCCUCGCAGCCCAUGGCCCAUCGGCCCGGCAGUGGACGCAGAGCCUCGGCCCGUUCCCUCCCCGGACCCCCCGGACCCGCUCUCCGUCCUCCCUGCAGAGCCGAGGGCCUUGGCCCAGCCCCGCAUCCUCCCCGACCGUGCUCGAUCCAGCCCGGGUGUGCUGCACCCGAAACAGGCUCCCGGGGGCCGUCGGGCCUGGGGGUGACCGUGCAGGCCAGGAUCUCCCCCUUCCCAGUCGUGACAACCACAGAUGGCCCCAGAUGCCAGGGACGGAGAGCGCGCUCGGGAUGUCCAGCACUCAGCGCGGGUUGGGUGGCGAAUGGAGAGCGAGUCGUCCUCAGAGGCCGCCGGCCUGCAGGCGAGAACCCUCCCAGCCAGGAGGCUGCGGCUCUGCCUGAACCCCGACCCAGGGCGAACACCCGCAUUUGGCCCCUGCCCGGUGCUGAGAGAGGCCAGAGCGGCGUCCCCAGAAGCAGAGCGGGAGCCCCACGUCCGGCGGCCACGAUAGAAAGAAGAAAAGAAAUGGGUGGUAAUAAGUAAAAUAAAUCGUAUGAAACAUAAAACAA